rnacentral:lncRNA from 1 species
CCAAGAGUGGAGGAGGAGAUUAAGGGUCAAAAUAGGGGGCUAUUGUUGGAAGAAGCAAAUCUUCAUUCUACAGUCAAUAUGACUCUUUUAAAAUCUCAAUUUAUUUGUGGCUCAAAACAUCAACUUUCUUCACAAGUUGCUGUUUGUUGUUGUUUAGUCUCCAAAUAGUAUCCAACUCAUUGAGACCCCAUGGUCUGUAGCCUGCCAGGCUCCUCUGUCCAUGGGAUUUCCUAGGCAAGACUACUGGAGUGAGUUGCCAUUUCCUUCUCCAGGGCAUCUUCCCAACCCAGAGGUCAACCUGCAUCUCUUGCAUCUCCUGUAUCAGCAUUGGCAAACAGGUUCCUUACCACCAUCACCACCUGGGAAGCCCAGGAAAGCCAGAGCCCGAACCUCAGCCAGGCCCGGACGGAAGUCUAGCCUGCAUUCUUAAAGGCUGUAUCUUUAAAAGAGAUUAGGAAAUUCUCAUGAGAGUCUGAAACACUGAAUUAUAGGGAAAAAAAAGUCAAUCUAGUAAAUUCUGUUCUGGAAAACAUGCUAAAUAAAAUGUGAUUUCUUGCGGAUGUUCCUGUGGGCUCAAAAAUUAUAUGAAAUCUGUGUUACUGGUUUUAAUGUUCUAUGUGAUCAAGCUUAUUGUGGGAUUUGUACAUUUUCUAUUUGGCUUACUUUUGUCUGUUGAUCUAGCAGUUUCUGAUAUGAACGUGUUAAAAUCUUACUUAAAUUGUUGAUUUAGCUAUUAAUCUGUCCUAAUUUUUAGUGAUUUAAAAAAUAAACAUACAUUUCAAGGCAACAUACAUAUAUAUACCUGUGAUUUUUUAUAUUAUUCAUGUAAUAUUCUUUUUAUCAGUAUAUGAUGUUUCUCUUUUCCCUUAUAUUUUCUACCAUAAGUUCUAUAACCUGCUUUAUUUCUUAUUUUCCUGGGAUAUUUUCUGUUCUCUUAUUGAUAUUUCUGUAUACUUUCUUUACUUUUUUACCCAUUAAUAUUUACCCUUGGAUUCACUGCCUUUUGACUGAGUAUGGUUCAUUUAUAUUCAAUUAAAUUUUUCCCUCAAACGUUUCUGUCAUCUUAUUUUUUGCUUUCCAUUUACAGUUCCUUUCACUUAUUUUUCCCUUUUAUAUGCUCCAUUAGGUAGAUGACAGUUUUUCUUCUAUUUUAAAAAUAAACAGUUUAUUUUUAUACUUGUGGUGUAUACUUUUUUACUCCCAACUUAGUAACACUUAGAAUUGUGCUUAUUUUUCCAUAUCAAACAAUUACACUGAAUAGGAUAAGAUAUAUUCUAACUUCUCUCAUAUCCC